AAAUAAAAUUAGGUAUCCAAAUAUAGCGGUAACAAUUUUUUUACGAUAUGACGUCAUACCGUUAUUUAAACAUACCGUAAUUUUCGGGUUAUUCAGUCCCUGCUGCAGAAUGUCACAACGGAGGCGCCGGUGACGAGCAGUGACAGCAGUGCGGCGAGCGCGGGAGAGAUGGGGCUGGUGGAGACGACGCGGCUGGCGGUGCACACGGCCGACCUGGUGAACGUGACGGUGCACGAGCGCCCCUCCAUGUGGGACCUGUACCUGAACCACUGCCCGCGGUGGCGGCCCAUCAACCACGUGUUUUUCCAAGUGGCCAACGUAUGCUUCCUGCUGUCGUUCCUGGCGCCGCACUCGGCGGGCGGGCUGCUGUGGCUGCGCGCCGCCCUCAUGCUGGGCUGCGCCUUCUCCGCCAUGUGGGCCUGGAGCAUCGAGUGCUGUCUGGACGCUGUGCUCUGGAACUGUGCAUUUAUUGUGAUAAACUUUGUUUACUUCUCUAUACAGUUUUAUUUGAUGCGCCCCAUCAAGUUCCAUAAAGAUAUUGAAGAGGUGUACGUGGCACUAUUCAAGCCACUCCGGGUCUCCCGAAGACAGUUCCGCCGCGUGCUCAUGUGCAUGCGCAACGUGCGGCACUUAAAGUGCCACGAGCUGUACGCACACGAGAAGGUCACUAAAGUCGACAGCCUAUCAUUAGUGCUGUCUGGCAAACUAGUGGUGUCGCAGAACCAGCGCGCCCUGCACAUAGUGUUCCCGCACCACUUCCUAGACUCGCCGGAGUGGUUCGGCGUGUCUACGGAUGAGUAUUUUCAGGUGUCAAUAAUGGCGAUGGAGGAGUCCCGCGUGCUGGUGUGGCACCGCGACAAGCUGAAGCUCUCCAUCAUGUCGGACGCCUUCCUGCAGGCCGUGUUCGACCACAUACUGGGGAGGGAUGUCGUGCAUAAACUUAUGCAGGUGAGCGAGACGAUGGCCGUCUCCAACGGCCACCUGCCGAACAGCUACGAGGAGGGCGAAGACAAGCCCAUGUUGGUGGUGAAGAAGGCGGGCGACGGGCCCGGCAUCACCGCGCUCCUCAACCGGCAGCUGCAAGGCGAGCACGUGCCGCUGCUGCGCGCGCCGCCCGCGCACUGCUGCUGAGGGACGCCGCUAGCCUGUCCCACUGUCCCCCUCUUACUGUUCACGAUACAUGGCUAACUGAAUAAACUGAAAAACUAUCACCUGCACAUUAUUUAUGAUAGUGUGAUAGUAUGACAUUGAAGUCGUUAAAUAACCCGUUCUUGCAAAAUAUAGAUACUAGCCUAUAAAUAUCCCACUGUUGGUCAUAGGCUUAUACCCAUAGUGAGAAGGAUUGAGCCUGACUUUAACUAGAGUAUACUCAAGGCCUAUCUGUACUACACUUUGACAAAUAAAAUGUAAUAUCAAAAACUAAUUGAAUUAAUUUACAUUUUACUGUCUUUUUUAUACUGGUUUGGCUAUUAUCGUGAACAGUAAAUAUCCUGUCCCAUAUUCCCAAAAUCCAUAUAAACAUGAUAUUCAUACGAUAUAAAACAGACAUCAUGAUUUAUUUAUUAUACAUACUGACAAGUAUACCAUUUAUAAAUAGUUUAUUACCAGUAUUAUAAUUAAUACAUUUUAUUAUGUAUCGCUUCUUUUGCGUACACAUUAUGAUAUAUGGUAUGUGGUAGGUAGUAGUGCAAAACGUGUCUUAUUUUACUAGAAAAUAAGAGCUAUUUUAAUCUCUCUUUAUAAUAAUCUAGAACUGCAAUGUCAAAGCAGAGAUAGGCAAAGCAUCUUUAUAUUUUCUAUCUGUUAGCAUAAAACUAAAUUUACUAAAAACUUGUAGAAAUCUAUAUUAAAAAUCUAGUUCGAAUCUUCGUUUUACGUAUUUAGGAACACUUUUUUCUCUCUUUAAGACUCUAAGAAUAUUUACAAUUGCCUUCUAGAUUAGUUUGAUGCAAUUGUGAUCAUGACAUUUCAUUAAUAAUGUAGUAUGUAAUUUUAAUAAAAGUAGUCUCUUAUGAAUUAAUUGAGCUUAUAAACUUAGCAAUAAAUAAUGAAUAAAGGCUUUAGAAAAUCAAAAAUAAUGCGUAAAUCGUAAAUUAAGCCGUAAAAAAGUAAUAUUUUACUAUAAUAGCUUACUACUUCAUAUGUCUAGUUCGUGGCUGCGCUAUAUGGGUAUGUCUGAGUAUAAAGUGUGUUACUAGUCUUAUAAUCCAUUCAUAUUACUAUAUCUUACAUUUAACUACAUCAUAAUAUGCACGUGAUAAAUAAGUAAAACAACACUUAAAAUUAAUAAACACUCAUUCUUUUUUAUCUGUGUUAGACUAUAGACAAACAACUCCACACCUGUCACAAAACUUUUUUUUUAUUUGCUUUGAACAUUGUUCUUUUUGUCAGAAUAAGUGUUUAUUAAUUUAUAUUUAUAAUACUGUAUGCUUUAAUGAAUAGUUGUUACCUGUACCCGCUAAGUACAUAAUAGUCUAUGUAAGGUAUAUUUAGUAUAAGCUAUACAUAUCCUGUAGUCCCAUCCUAUUUCCGAACUCCCAAAGCAUGUUUGGAGGAUCGACUGUAAAAGCGCACGACCCCAACGCGUGGCGCCUCGGCCGCAUCGAGGAGGCCGACACCGAGACGCCCGUGUGACCGCGCCCGCGCGCCGCCCGCCUCCACGCGCUAUGCCAAUAGUCGGUGACACACCACUCACUCGCGGAUCCUACACUCAUAAUCCGAUUCAGUGAUGGGAUCGGAAUAUAUAAGACGACGUAAAAGAUUUUGUUCAUUCACACUUAUGUCAAAAUCGACUAAACUGAGAUUUUAGUCGACUAAGCAACUGUUUACACUAAGGAGUGUAUCAAUGAAAUCUUUUACUCUGAAUAAUUUAAGCAUAAUAAUAUUAUACACAUAUCCACUGAUCGACUAUUCGCCCGAGCGAACUGAAGCCUAUAUUUAACUUUUUACACUUCAGGAAGUCAUCGUAACUUUCUGCUUUUAUAUUGAACUAUGACGACAAAGUUCCCGAUGAUUCACUGCUGUGUAAAUAAAGAUUUAUUAAGGGAUAGCUUACAAACGAUCUGAAACGAAAUAGCACAUUGAAAAAGACUAGAAUCAUUAUUUUGUGUAUACUAUUUAUGUAGAUAGACAUAUAACUAAAUAUUGAAUCGAUAUGGCGUCGUAUUGUCCCCAAUAAAAAUAAAACGAGAGGUUAUAUUUAAAUAAAUGUUUUGUGUAAAUACAUUAUAGAAUGAUAUUGUAUAAAGAAUGAAAAUUGUGUGUACAAAAUAUGUAUUCUACUCGAUUCGUAGUGGCCAUAUUGGUGAAGAAAUUGGAUGAUAUGCCUUUUAAAUACCACAGUUUUAUAUUACUCACUAGGAGUUUAGGAGAUUAUUUUAUUUAAGAGUGUUGUAGAAUAUUUGUUUUUAGUUGUUUGCAAGACUUAUACAUAAGUUUUAUCUCUUACUGGUGAUAUCGAGUGCAGGUCACUGUUAUCGUGUCAUUGCCUGUGAAACAUGCAUAUUAUUAUAUAAGUAACGAAAUAAAGAAGUAAAAAACUUUCGCAGCUAAAACUUUUUGGUUGUUUUAAACUAAAAAUGUCCCGUGUGCUUUUUGUGGUACUUUUAAUAUUAGGAAAAAUAGGCUAACGUGUAUGUCAACGCGCAAGUGCAAAAAGCGCUUCAAAAUAUUGAUAACUCUUGAAACCUAAGUAUUGUAUAAAACUGUGAGUUUUCUAAGAGGAUCGUGUAAAGAAAAUUUCUGUAUUAAAAUGUCUGUCAAACUCAACAAGUUUACUUUGUUAGUAUGAAAGCCACAUCAUUCAUAAUGUACCUGAUUAUAAUUUGAUGUAAAGGAACUUGUCGAGUGGACAAUAAGAGCUUGAAGCCGCUGAAUCUGCUGCAAUCACCACUGGGGUUCAUUUCAUUAUUUAAUAAAAGCUAAAAAUAAAUAUUUGUUUAAUAUUUGCAGCCAUUUCAGCGGCUUCAUAACUAUAUACUUAUAAUAAAAUCGAUAAUUAUAUCAUUAAAAUUCGUAAGUCACAAAUUAAACAAGCAGGCCUUAAAGAAAUUGCAAUAGAAUGUUACCAUAGUGUAACAAAACUGACCAAACGUUAAACACGCCAUUUUCAAUCCUAUUUGAUAAGUAAAUAAGAUUGAAAUUGUUAGAAGAGGUUUUAACGUUUUGUCAGUUUUGUAAAAUAUAUUAAUAUUAACAAAAUAGGGAACCACAUUCAAUUGUAAUUGAGCUAAAUAUGAACUAUUGUCGAUGUACAAAUUGUUGGUGUUUACCAAACAAUGCACAUUACUAUAAGAUGUCUGGAUACAUAAAAUAGUCGUUUAUUUGUUAAAGCAAUAAGUACAUGUACUGGUUGGUUGUGUUCUGCAAGUUGGCGUCAUGUCCCACGGCAAGAAUAACAGAAUAAAUUAACACUAUUUAUUAAUAAGGUCAGCUGAUCCAACUGUGUAAACAUUAAAAUAUAGUUACUAUAAUAAUACGAAGUACAAAGACUACACGAUUCAAUUAUUACAAAGUUUUGUUUCGGUCGGUUCGCCUUAUUUGUAGAUGGUGCCACUGACAAUAGGACGAGUUUACAAUAAGCUAUUUAGUUGAUCAACAAUAGAAAUACGUGGUGUUUUCAUAAUGCCGACUUGCGAGGGGCGAUCCGGUCGUUCGCAAUACUGACGAAACUUAUCACUGUUUAAUACUUUCACUUGUUUCUUAUCGUCACUCAACUGUGCAAUUUUGUUUUAUUUAUAGUUAGGUAAGAGGCUUUGAUAGCAGUGAUUAACGAGUUGCUAGAAUCUUAAGUUGACAUUUAUAAUUUGAAUUCAAUGAUUUGUUGAAAAUUUACAUGAUCAUAUUGACGUAUUGGUUUAGUUAGCCCUAUAUUUAAUGGCUUUUUCUUUCAAUGGCAUUAAAUAAGUAAUUAGUGUCGCAGUCUUGCUCGCGAUCGGUAGCCGACACACGGAUUGACUACGGUGCCCUAUUCUUGUGUUGUGUAUGAAAUGCGUGUAUGAGUUAAAGUUGUAUGAUAACAAAUGAUGUAAAACAUUCCAAAAUUAUUAUUUUUGGCUAUCGGAAUUAUUGUUAGUUAUAGUAUAUUUAAGAGUCAGAAGCACUGCCAAUGCAAUUUGAUUGCUUGUUUUGCGGUCACUGCAUUAUAUUUUGUAAUUAAGGAUCUCAUUUUGUUUUUUAUAAGAAUUUUGAUUUGUCUUGAUAAAUGAUGAGCACAUAAUUAUUUUUUGUUUAUUUGUGGACAAACCACUUUGUUAAGGUUGUCCAUACAAAUGUGAUUGUUCACUUGCCUCGUGUCUGUGUCUGAGCACUGGGAAUGUUAGUAUGCCUUAACAAAUUGCCAUUUGUGAUGAUUGUGAAUAUGAAUGUGUUGUAUGGUUAAUUGUAUUGAAUCAUCUUAGUACAUGUUGAGACGAAUAGAGAUUAAACAAAUAAAGUAACAAAUUGUGUAAAAAUAA